AGUCCCCCACUACCACAAAUUAUGCAGUCGAGUUUCCCACAUUUGGGGAAAUCGCAGGGGUCAGCACAUCCGGAGUGCAAUGGAUAAGCCUCGCCCUGGGAAAACCACCUUCGUGAUCAUGGUAUCUCCCCUUCCAGACAGGGAUGGGCUUUGUGAAGAGGUGAAACUGGAGAUGCUGAUAGGAAUACGAGCUGGGAGCCAUGAACCUCCAGCUAUGUUUUGGGCCCAGGAAAUUUACAGCUCCCUUGAAGGGGACUAUCGGCUCCUUGACCAGGCCUCAGCUUGCCUGCUGGGGAGCCCAUAGGUGUCUACACAAACUCGGAGAAAUGGAUAAGGAGGGCUUGCCACUCAAGCCAUACGACAGGCCAUAUGGUUCACUGUUUUGUCGCUUGCCAAGCCAUGAGCUGCACAGUGGAUAUUCCCCUUCGUCUCCAGAUCUACUCUGCUGCACCUCUUUCCAAGCUCCAUUGGCAGCAUCCGUCUUCAGCAACGGUGAACUGGAGGGCCUGGAAGAGUGGAACCCCAGAGAUCCCCAGCCUGAGAAGCAGAGGGAUUAGAAAUGGCUUGGAUCAGACAAACCGAAGCUUGAAUCUGGUUAACCAGCUGUGUGACUUUUGCCUCCUGCACCUAAUGGCCUGCGGCUUUGGAUGGGAUGGUGCCCUGUAGAGGCCAUCUGGUCCAGCCCUCUGCCUCAGUAAUGAACGUACACGGCCACCCUGGAGGAAAGGCUGUGUCUUGAAUACUUUGAAGACUGCCAUGCUGCAGGAACUCUCAGCCUGGGUCUGGAAUCCCUCCCCCACAACACAGCUCCUCUUUGGACCUGAUCCCACUGGGUGCCAGGUUGUGCUGGGUGCUGUGGAGAGAGCAGUGAGCCAAACUGACUCCACCCUGCUCACACGGGGCUCAGAGGCCAGGAGGGGA